AUCCUGGCUCAGGACGAACGCUGGCGGCGUGCCUAAUACAUGCAAGUCGAGCGGACAGAUGGGAGCUUGCUCCCUGAUGUUAGCGGCGGACGGGUGAGUAACACGUGGGUAACCUGCCUGUAAGACUGGGAUAACUCCGGGAAACCGGGGCUAAUACCGGAUGGUUGUUUGAACCGCAUGGUUCAGACAUAAAAGGUGGCUUCGGCUACCACUUACAGAUGGACCCGCGGCGCAUUAGCUAGUUGGUGAGGUAACGGCUCACCAAGGCGACGAUGCGUAGCCGACCUGAGAGGGUGAUCGGCCACACUGGGACUGAGACACGGCCCAGACUCCUACGGGAGGCAGCAGUAGGGAAUCUUCCGCAAUGGACGAAAGUCUGACGGAGCAACGCCGCGUGAGUGAUGAAGGUUUUCGGAUCGUAAAGCUCUGUUGUUAGGGAAGAACAAGUGCCGUUCAAAUAGGGCGGCACCUUGACG
rnacentral:rRNA from 1 species